GCUGAGCCUGGACCAGAAGGGCGGCCGGCCGAUGUCUGGAGGCGGGGCCGGGCCCACAGCCACCCCAGGGACCUGCGGGGUCUCUAGAGGGAAAACCUGGAGUGUCAUUCCAGGGGCAAAAUGAAAACCAGAGGGCGGACUUUGGGGACAGGGAGGAGGGAAAGAAAAAGGAUCAAGAUGGAUGUGACAGUGUGCCGCCACUAUACCUGCAGUGAAAGCUACACGCAACACCUGAGAGCAGACUCCUCCAGGAGCGCACCUGGGGCCGCUUGCACCGUCAGAGGUCCCUGAAUCUGGGGCCGACACCAUCCACUUUCCCAGAAGAAAUCGGAAUUUCAUUUCUAACUGCUGGCGUCACAAAAACGCUGCGUGACUCAGCCUAGGCCCUCUUGGUGCAGGAGGGAAAUGUGCUCUCCGGAGUCCUUAGGCAGGGGCUGCCGCAUGCAGGACACAGCCCAGGCCUUGAGUCUUAAAGUAACUUUAGCGCAGGCGUAAAUAGCAGUCUGGGGCUGGUGGCCGAGACCCUGGCAGUGUAGUGAGACCCACAGGGCUCUGAUGAGGAGGCCACAGGCCUGACCCAUCCCAGAAAAAGGUAGAGGGCUCCUGGCCAGGGGUCAGACACCCCUCAGAGGAUCCUUGAGCCUCCGGAGGCCAAGCCCUGAGCUCAGGCCCAGGACCCUGAAAACUAAGAUGGGGGAGGAAGAACCCCACAGCCCUGGACAGCCGGACGGGGCCCACGUGGGCUGGAGAAGGACAGUGGCUUUGGGGGCAGGGCCACAGGACCUUGCACUUCCCUGCCGCCUGGGUGGUCCUGGGGGCCUCCGGACUUUGCAAAGGUGGGCUUCCUGCCAGGCACUUCGAUUGUUCCAGACAUUGCUGUGGCUCCUGUGAGAAUUACCAGGGCAGAAGCACUGCCAGGAUCCGGAUAUGUUUAUGGAAUUGCCCCAGGGCUGACCCACAGGCUCUUCCUCCACCUCCAGCGAGCUCAGCAAAUCCUUUGGCACAGGCUCAGGAAGGGAGCGACACACUGUGCUGCCUUCUUCCUUGCACACAGGCUCAGCACUUGGCCCCAGGAUGGGCAGAGUGAUCUAUCCAUGCAUCAGUGUUUUAGUUCGGCCUACAGUCUAACCAGAGGGGCCAGGAAAUGGCCCAGUGGAGAGGAGAAGCAAGUUUCAAACAGGUGGAUGGACAGAGGUGACAGCACCCGAACUCCAACCAGAACCCAGCCAAACUAAGAAAAUGUUGUCAUCUCCUACAUCAGAAAGUCUGGCUUCUGCGGCUUCUGGUGGGUCGAUCCAUGUGGCUUUGACUUUGGAAAUCUAGCAGGUUUGGGAGUUAUAUCUCUUCCCCUAUAUCAGUUUGAUCUGUCAUAAAGGAGCCAGAAGUUCUGGGUUUGGGGCCUGAUUUUUCCCUGGGC
rnacentral:lncRNA from 1 species